UCCUACGGGGGGCAGCAGUGGGGAAUAUUGCACAAUGGGGGAAACCCUGAUGCAGCAACGCCGCGUGAGUGAUGAAGGCCUUCGGGUUGUAAAGCUCUUUGAUCAGGGACGAUAAUGACGGUACCUGAAGAACAAGCCACGGCUAACUACGUGCCAGCAGCCGCGGUAAUACGUAGGUGGCAAGCGUUGUCCGGAUUUACUGGGCGUAAAGGGAGCGUAGGUGGAUAUUUAAGUGGGAUGUGAAAUCCCCGGGCUUAACCUGGGGGCUGCAUUCCAAACUGGAUGUCUAGAGUGCAGGAGAGGAGAGUGGAAUUCCUAGUGUAGCGGUGAAAUGCGUAGAGAUUAGGAAGAACACCAGUGGCGAAGGCGACUCUCUGGACUGUAACUGACACUGAGGCUCGAAAGCGUGGGGAGCAAACAGGAUUAGAUACCCGUGUAGUC
rnacentral:rRNA from 1 species